CGUGGGAAGUCUGCCCUUACGGUUCGGAAUAACAGUUAGAAAUGACUGCUAAUACCGGAUGAUGUCUUCGGACCAAAGAAUUUAUCGCCUAGGGAGUGAGCCCGCGUCGGAUUAGCUAGUUGGUGGGGUAAAAGGCCUACCAAGGCGACGAUCCGUAGCUGGUCUGAGAGGAUGAUCAGCCACACUGGGACUGAGACACGGCCCAG
rnacentral:rRNA from 1 species